CGGGAGCUCCGGUAUCUGCAGGUUAGAAAAGCUAGGCUUGCUGUACGUUAACGCUAAGACUCUGCAAAUAUCUGGUCCGGAGCUGCAGAAUGACACGUUGUUUCUCUUGUUAAAUAUGGCCAUCAGGAAUGCUGCGCUUUCCUGAGGAGGUAGAGGAGGAGGAGGAGGAGGAGGAGGGUCGCACUGCUGGUUUCGUGGGGUUAGCGCUCAGUUGACGGGCCUGCUUGACUGUCCACGUUGUGUUGUGUGUGUUCAGCUUCACCUCGAGUCUCCCCACUAUCAUGGAUCAGGACUAUGAGAGAAGGCUGCUUCGGCAGAUCGACUUCCACAAUGUAGCAGACAACGUCCCGUCACCAUCUGCGUCUGUGAACUCUCUAGCCAGUCUGCACAAAACAGGAGAUCGCUUCAUACCAGCCAGGGCCGGGUCCAACUGGAGCAUCAACUUUCACACCAUAAAUGAGAACGGAAAAUCUCCAAACCAGAACAGAGUGUCAAAGGAAGCCAAUUCAGACAGCGGAAAAGCAGACAGUGUUGCCUACGCUGCCCUGCUGAAGAAUGAGCUGCUGGGAGCCAGCAUUGAGAAGGUGACUGACCCCCAGACUGAGGACUGCCGCUUCCAGAUGCCCAUGCAGGAGCGCAGCAACCUGUUCAGGUAUGCUUUGAACUGCAAGAAAGCACCAGCUGACGAUGGCAAUGAGAUCUCUCCUUACUCACUGUCCCCCCUCAGCAAUAAAAGUCACAAGCUGCUGCGCUCUCCGCGGAAGCCCACCAGGAAGAUCUCAAAGAUCCCCUUCAAGGUGCUGGACGCCCCGGAGCUGCAGGAUGAUUUCUACCUCAAUCUGGUGGACUGGUCCGCCUCCAAUGUGCUGAGUGUGGGGCUGGGGGCCUGCGUCUACCUGUGGAGCGCCUGCACCAGCCAGGUGACGCGGCUGUGUGACCUGUCGGUGGACGGGGAUUCUGUGACGUCGGUGUGCUGGAAUGAGAGGGGGAAUCUGGUGGCUGUGGGAACGCACAAGGGCUACGUGCAGAUCUGGGACGCUUCGGCCGGGAAGAAGCUGACCUGUCUGGAAGGGCAUUCAGCCAGAGUGGGAGCGCUGGCCUGGAAUGCAGAUCAGCUGUCGUCGGGCAGUCGGGACCGGCUCAUCCUGCAGAGGGACAUCCGCACCCCCUCCCUGCAGGCAGAGCGCCGGCUGCAGGGGCACCGGCAGGAGGUCUGCGGACUCAAGUGGUCUCCGGACCACCAGCACCUGGCCUCGGGGGGCAACGACAACAAGCUGUUUGUGUGGAAUAACUCCAGCCUGAGCCCAGUGCAGCAGUACACGGAGCACCUGGCCGCGGUGAAGGCCAUCGCCUGGUCCCCCCACCAGCACGGGCUGCUGGCCUCCGGGGGGGGCACUGCUGACCGCUGCAUCCGUUUCUGGAACACGCUGACCUGCCAGCCCCUGCAGUGCGUCGACACGGGGUCCCAGGUGUGCAACCUGGCCUGGUCCAAGCACGCCAACGAGCUGGUGAGCAAGCCAUCCAUCCCUCCAUCCCUCCAUCCAGCCAGCAAGCAAGCGCUGCAAACAUUCCAAAGCAAUUCCCAGCCUCGGUCAGCACUCACGGCUAUUCACAGAAUCAGAUCCUGGUCUGGAAGUACCCUUCACUCACACAAGUUGCCAAACUCACAGGACAUUCCUACAGAGUUCUCUAUCUGGCUAUCUCUCCUGACGGGGAGGCGAUUGUGACCGGCGCCGGGGACGAGACCCUGCGGUUCUGGAACGUCUUCAGCAAAACCCGAUCCACCAAGGAAUCCAAAUCCGUCCUGAAUCUCUUCACGAGGAUUCGAUAGGGAGGGAGGGAUAGCAGGCUCUGUCGGACUGCAGCAAUGCAUGCUGGGGAGCAGAGAAAGCCUCGAUCCGAGAGCAUUGGGCAGAGAAAGGGCCUCUCGCCCAUCCAAGCGAGCGGUCAAACGGUCAACAAUACCGACUCAGCCAUCUGGACUCUGCAGUGCCAGUCUGGAGCUGACCAGUGAAGCCAUGGCCAGUUCCCAGCUCAUUACUGGUUUGCCAGUGAAAUAUUCUAUUGAUUUAUUUAGGGGGGAUUUUUCUUGCAUUAUUUGAAUCCAGUUGGGUUCUAGCUAGACACUUUUUAAAGUCAUGACAUUUUUUUAAAAAACACUAGAAAAAACACCAACAAUUAUUUUAUUGUAUGGACAGUUAUUAUAACAAAGGAGGCCUUUUACUUUGACUUCCGUGGACCUGUCUCCAAGGUGUUCUCCCUGACAGUGUAUGUGCAAUAGCAGACUUCUUGUGUCUUUCCAUUCCCUGGCAGCUGGAAAAUGAAUAUCCCUGAAACUGGAGGAGUGUGAUGGAAUGUUACAUUACUGCAAUACAUCUAUCUGUGAGCCCUUUGAGGACUGUGGGGUUUUUUAAACGCAUUUUUAUUAAUUAAAUCAAGUUUGCAGUUCAUGAAA